rnacentral:lncRNA from 1 species
GUUUGGAGCAGUGUUCCGCUCUCCUGGCUGCACUUCCCGCGUGUCUUCCCAAUCUGCCGGCAUCCACGCACCUCCGCGCCUUCCCACACUCUUGGCUGUAUCUCCGCCGUUGUCCCGUGCGGUCUGUUGCAGCCUCCUCGGCCCUGCGCAGAUGAAGACCCUCCCUCGGACGGCUUUGCGGGCCCUGCCUCAGCCGGCGCCCCCUUCUCUCCUGCAGGACCCGGACCCCCACUGCAGGGGCUGAGUGCCCCCUGGGAGUGUCACGUGACUGCUGUCGUAUGGGAGAUGUGGUCAGGAAGAGCCUGGCUAUGAGCCUCAGGUGGAUCUGUGUACACAGGCUCCGUGGAGGUUCCUCUUCAUGUCAGCCAGGCGCUAGACCCUGGGGCCUCAGGUUCUCUUUUUAAAGGGUGACCCCAGAGUUUCACUAGAGAAGAAACUCCCAGGCCUGUGGUUCUGAGGCUCCCUAGCUUUCUGGUUCACAUCAGUGGGUGUAUUAGAUGGCUGGCGGAGUCCCCAGCCAUGUCGUCAGCCCUCAGCAGGGGGCUGACCUGCCUUUCUAUGCUACAGAUGUGUUGGUGGAAGGCUGAAACUCUGCAAUGGUGCUUUCAUUACUCGGUGACCCUGAAGAGGCAACACGGCGCCCCCUAGAGGCAUGACUGGCUCCCAGGUAACAGGUGACAUCUAGUUUGGCUGUGUAAACUGGGAGCUUGGGCCUGUUCCAUUGGGAUCCUCUGAGCUGUUACUUGAAGAUGGUGCUGGAAAGUAAUGCUUGUGGGCUUCUUCUAGAUUCAUCCACUGUGUGCACAGCAGCGGGACAGAAUGGAGAGGGAGGUCCCCACACGAAGCCUCACCAGGGCUCGCUGCCCUCUGCGCCGAGUCAUGGGAGAACCCUUCCCUCAGCACAGAGAUGAGGGGAAGCCCUGGGACUGGCAUCUCUUGAGUCCCGACACUGCCCUGGUUGGGGGGUGGGGGAGCUGUGGACAGGGAAGGCUGGCCCUGAGCCUCAAUGCUGCGCCUGGAUGACUUCAGCAACCAGGAGUUUUUCUCUUGAGUUGGCAGCUGCUUGUCAAUCUGCUCUCCACCCAUCCAUUCAAUAAACUGUACACAG